UCCUGGGUAGCUCAAUGGUAGAGCAUCUGACUGUUAAUCAGAGGGUUGCCGGUUCGAGUCCGGCCCCAGGAGCCA
rnacentral:tRNA from 1 species